rnacentral:ncRNA from 2 species
CGAACCGUGACGGGAGAGUCCCGCCCCAGCCUGGCGGCGGGGGCGGGCGCCGAAGGAGCAACCUCCCCGGGAAUCUCUCAGGCCCACGUACCGCCACGGUGAG